UCGACCUCGAGAACAAGAAAAAUUUAAAACCCUAGCCGCCAAACCUUCUCCUCCCCACUCCAUCCUCCCCCACGCCGCCGCACCCUCUCCUCACACGCCUCAGCGCGCUCCCCUCCUCCUUGUGCCGCCGGCCUCCUUCCUUCUCCCCGCGCUAGAGCAGAGAUGCGCCUUCGUAUGGGUAGAAUCAGCAGCAGCAGUACCGUCUCCAUGGACGCGGCAGCGUGACGGCUCCCAGGCACGGAUCCCCUCCUCCGCCUCCAUCCUCCACCUCUUCGGUCGCCCUGUUCCAAUGUCCGGAGCAGCAGCAGCUGAUUUCCAUCUUCCAGUUCAUGUUCAUGGCCUUGUUGUGGUUGCACGGUGGUCCGUGGGGAACAGCAGCAAAUACCUUUGCUACAACCGAGGUCUUGACAGACCAGUCAGGGAGAGAUAGGUUCGUUUUGCAGGGGUUGUUAUGCUCUGUCCCCCGUGGUAAGUUUGCUAGGCAGCGGCUCACUCCUCGCUUGUUUUUUAGUUUUGACCAUGAUAUCAAAAUUACAUCUGGUCGAUGGUGUAAGUUUAGGCAGGUACCAUCUGCAUUUUGUGAAGAUUGCCAUCAUCUAAUUUUAUUGCGGCAUGAUGCAUAUGUAAUAAGGAAUUUGGUGUUUGAGAAGCAUCACCGGAAGUUGGUAUGCUAAUAUCUCAAUUGGCAAGAUAAAAGGACCACUACUUCUUACCUUCCAGUCAUUUUAAUAUUAUAGGAAUGCAAGUGUGUACUAAGUAGAAAAGAUGGUUGAAUUUAGUGCCCCUGCAUUUACAUGACUAGGUGUUAUCAGUUUUUGUUUCCUUUGAUGGCUCUGAGUACAAAUUGGAGCUUGUUUGGUACAAAAUGUUGCCAAGAUUAGUUUAGGAUCAGAAUUGUUGUCAUGUUGUCCAGAUAUUGCUCUAAGAGGUUCCUAGAAUUAGUUUAGGAUCAGAGUUAUUGUCAUGUUGUGUAGAUAUUGCUCUAAAGAUUUCGGACGUACUUUUCAGGUUGCUUGGUUAUAAUUUUUGCCCCCCAAAGGAAAGCUUUGGCCAGCUUCUUGCUAGAAUAUUAUCAUAAGGCUUGAUUAAUUUAGAACAUACUUGUGUCUUUUCACUCUUAUUUUAUUUUAAUAGUUAUCUGACAUGUUGUAGAAGGGGAGCCUUGGCGCAGUGGUAAAGCUGCUGCCUUGUGACCAUGAGGUCAUGGGUUCAAGUCCUGGAAAUAGCCUCUUACAGAAAUGUAGGGAAAGGCUGCGUACUAUAGACCCAAAGUGGUCGGACCCUUCCCUGGACCCUGCGCAAGCGGGAGCUACAUGCACCAGGUUGCCCUUUUUUAGUUAUCUGACAUGUUGUAAACUAUUUCUUUUAUUUUUCAGGAAGAAAUAGAAGUUGAGGGGAAGCAAUUGCAUGCUGGAAAAUCAGUUGGUGUUGUCAAUGUUGGUUUGAAGAAGAAAAGGACCGGCAAAUUGAUAGCUCAGGCACGUCAUACAAAGUACUUGUAUAUAGCAGAUUGCAAGGAUUCCCUUAUGUUGUAAGAUAAAAACCUGGUUAUAUGUUGCAUCUCAAAAUCAAGAUGUUGAUUCAAGAAGAGAAAGGAGUUGUCAGUGUGCCGUGGUGAGCGUCCUUGUCCUGGAGCAUACCGUUUAUCAGUAUAAAGUAACGGGUAACAAUGUUUUCUCGUACAUAUGAUUCUGAAGUAAUAGAGAGCAGGAAGUGGUAGGCUUAAUUUCAGUUAGAUAAAUAGGUGUACUGCGGCAGCAUAUAUUUAAGCAAUCCCUUGUAUUUGUCUUUCCUGGUUCAUGCGUUAUACAUCGUGUAUAUAUGCCAGCCAGGGAGGUGGAUGGGCUCGUCUCCACUGCGUCGUGAGCGCCGCCGCCGCCUCUGCAACCACCUUGCUCUGCAUAGUAGCAUGUGUGAGGAAUCGGGGACAAAGCGACCACAAGCAGAUGACGUCGGCGGCAACGGCAAUACGCAUGGUGCGCGAAGCCUGGUAAGAUGGGCGCGGCCUCCCCACAGGCGUUUCAGGAUGGCGUGCCCGGCGGCUCGGAACACGCGCGCCCGGCGCACAUGAGGUGUGUCCUGGAGCAGCACGCCGGCGGCAACGUGCACCGUGAGGUCCCGGAGCAGCCCAACCAGUACAGGAGGAACCCUGCCAUUCCAUCCUCACCUCUACUCAUAGACCAACAACAAAACUAUUGGUAAUGAAAGAUUUAAGUGCAGGUAUACUCAAAUCAAGGUAUUUUAUCUAAUUGGUUGGAUAACUACUUUUCAGUUCUAUGCCUUUAAGUAAAACUUAAAACUAAGCAUUUAAUUAUUGUUCUAUUGUCUUAUUGAUUUCACCAGCUUUAUGCCAGCCGAUUAGUUCUGAGGGAUUCCACAUAUGUGUGUAGGUUAUGUGGGAGCCUUUUAUAGAGCCCUCAUGUUUUCAUUUAAAUAUACUUCGAAAAUGUAGAUUGACAAUAAAGGUACGAGGUCCAUUGCUAAUGAAUAAGUAGUCUUGCUGAAGGUGAUAAAUCUCCAAACUGAUGGAUAAGCCGAAGGUGAUAUUCAAGAGAUCCAUUUCUAAUGAAUAAGUAGUCUUGCUGAAGUUGAUAAAUAUCCAAACUGAUGGAUAGGCCGAAGGUGAUAUUCAACCUUUUUUAUACUGUAGUCGUGCUGAAGUGAAAGCAUCUGUGGAUGCAUGUAUACAUGCUUUUCAAUCUUUCUUUGUUGUCAAACUGUGGCAUGUAAAGUAUGGGAGGACCAAGUGAUUAUAAACUGUGUCAAACCCAUGUCUUUACAUGAUUUUUCUAACAUGGAAGUAGUCACUUCCUGGAUACCGGAGUAUGUACAUAGAGCUGGAACGCUUAUCACCUCAUGAUUUGCUAGAGUAAAAUCAAGCAUGAGACAUGUGUUAGGAUGAUGGAUUUCCUUAUUAAAAAUAAGGAUGUAAUAUAAGAGCACUUGGAAUGCAGUAGACAUAUGUUUA